rnacentral:rRNA from 1 species
CGCUGGCGGCGCGCCUAACACAUGCAAGUCGAACGGAGAUACACGCUGUUUGAGGACUUCGGUUAAAAACUUGUGUAUUUAGUGGCGAACGGGUGAGUAACACGUGAGGAACCUGCCUAAAAGAGGGGGAUAACACUUAGAAAUAGGUGCUAAUACCGCAUAAGACCACACUGUCACAUGGCAGAGCGGUCAAAGGAGCAAUCCGCUUUUAGAUGGACUCGCGUCCCAUUAGAUAGUUGGUGAGGUAACGGCUCACCAAGUCGACGAUGGGUAGCCGGACUGAGAGGUUGAACGGCCACAUUGGGACUGAGACACGGCCCAGACUCCUACGGGAGGCAGCAGUGAGGAAUGUUGAGCAAUGGGGGCAACCCUGACCCAGCGACGCCGCGUGAGGGAAGAAGGUUUUCGGAUUGUAAACCUCUGUCUUCGGGGACGAUAAUGACGGUACCUGAGGAGGAAGCCACGGCUAACUACGUGCCAGCCGCAGC